UAGGGAAUCUUCCACAAUGGACGCAAGUCUGAUGGAGCAACGCCGCGUGGGUGAAGAAGGGUUUCGGCUCGUAAAGCUCUGUUGUUAAAGAAGAACGUGGGUAAGAGUAACUGUUUACCCAGUGACGGUAUUUAACCAGAAAGCCACGGCUAACUACGUGCCCG
rnacentral:rRNA from 1 species